AUGGUCAGUAUUUUAAUUCGCCUGUUAGGUGCGGGGUAUAUAUACAAGACUUUAGAAAUGAAUGCAGAGACUGCUUUUGUUUGUGUGUUCCGUGACUGGGUGACUGGUGUUUCUGCAUUCUUCUUGUCAAUGCGAGUAGUGGACACUACUAUACUGGGAUGUGACUUGGAAUUUGGAAGCUUCAAUCAAGUUCUUAUGGCUUAUGGCUUGAGACGGCCGGUAUUUUAUAUCGGGGAGCGGCUUGAGGUGCGCUUUGUCGUCUUUGCUGAUCUUGGGCCUGUUCAUAAGAGAAAAGAACUGUUAAUUUGA
rnacentral:rRNA from 1 species